GUUUUAAUAGUUUAAAGAAAAUAUUGGUCUUGUAAACCAAAACUGAGGCCUGUCCUCUUAAAACA
rnacentral:tRNA from 1 species